CGUCACCGACCCGACGGCAUGCCCAUUGCCGGGCCAUGGCACCAACCCGAUCGUGUCCGGCUCCCCGGACGU
rnacentral:sRNA from 1 species